UCAGAAUUUUCAAGCAAUGAAAACAAUUGGUGAGAACAGUGGAACCCGAGAGUAUGUAGCAGAUAAAUUUUCUUUUUUUUACACUAAUUCUAUGAUAGUGACAACAAAGGGACUGGAUCAUGAACUUCCUAGAGUUUUGACUACACAAAUAAUUAUCGAUCUCUCAAGGAAUAGAUUUGAAGGUCAUAUUCCAAACAUUAUUGGAGAUCUCGUUGGACUUCGUACCUUGAACUUAUCCCAUAAUGUCUUGGAAGGUCAUAUACCAGCAUCAUUGCAAAAUUUAUCAGUACUCAAAUCAUUGGAUCUCUCAUCUAACAAAAUCAGCGGAGAAAUUCCGCAGCAGCUUGCAUCCCUCACAUUUCUUGCAGUCUUGAAUCUCUCUCACAAUCAUCUUGUUGGAUGCAUCCCUAAAGGAAAACAAUUUGAUACGUUUGAGAACAGUUCAUACCAAGGAAAUGUUGGAUUAUGAGGAUUGCCACCCUCAAGAGAUUGUGGCCGUGAUGAUAGGGUACCACAAGCGACAAUUCCAGUUGAGCUAGAUCAAGAAGAAGAAGAAGAUUCACCAAUGAUCAAUUGGCAGGCGGUUCUCAUGGGUUACGGUUGUGGACUUAUUAUUGGAUUGUCCGUAUAAUAUGUAAUGUCUUCAACUCAAUAUCCAAAAUGGUUUUCGAGGAUGGUUGUAAAAUUGGAAGACAAACUUAUUACAAGAAUGAAAAAGUAGAGGAAAAGAUAUUAGUGUAUAGUUACCUCCAGGUAUUCAACUUGAUCAUUGUCCUUCAGAAGAUUAUUUUUUAUAUAUCGAUGAAAUUAUCGACCUCCUUCAUCCUCAAAGCUCUUAACUUUAACUCUUCAUUUUUGUAAAUUUCAGGAUUCAAGAGUUCCGAGUUCCGAGUUGCUGGGGAUGCAGAUAAAGCCUUUUUAUCGUUCAUAGUUUGUAAUGUUUCCAUGAAGUGUUUCUUAUCCUAUGAAUAAAUAUUUUGUUUUCAUUUGUCUAUGGCAUGCAGCUAUGUUCCAUCACUAAAAACAUUGUAUUUCUCUCAACUCUUUUGUCACAUGAUAUCAUAACACAAACAAAGAACACUUGAAUCAAAACCUGGAAGAAACAUCAGGAAACCAUGAAUCAAAGUUGCAGUAGUCUACUAUAUUAACUUUUUUCGUUGAAGCACAACCGACAUAUCAUGAGAAAGAGACUGUGAUCUCAGAAAUGAGAAUUUACCAAUCCACAACCCUGCAGUAUCUACUGGAACUUUUUUCUGUCGCUUCUUCUUGCCCCAAUCUCAGGAACAUUUCAUUCUUGACUGGUCCUUGAUGCAAUAAAUUAAAUCGUGAGUGGAAUUUGUUAAUCUAGUAGCUAAUUAAUGCUCGAAGAAGAUGAAUGCUAAUUCAGGGACUUAGCCGAGAAUUAUAGCUGAAAGAGAAAUGUAGAAGAAGAAGAGAUUGAUCUUAUUUCAUGAAUGAAUAACAUUUUGCAAUCAUAGACAGAGGAAUGAAACUAAUGGCCUAACGAACACUCUGUGAAUAGUGAACAGUACUAACCCAUACCGUGAAGUCUCCAGGAUACAAAUAUUUGGCCUUCGAAAGCAAACUUUUUCUCUCUAAAUACAAGCUUUAUUUUCAUAGUUUCUGAUGUUUCAUCUUACAUUUUUUUAUUACUACCUGUUGUUUCUUUAGCCUCGAUUACUGUAUUAUCUUGUUGUUUUUUCUGCUUGUUGCUACUAUGCCUUCUUUUACAUCGAAAAUAACCUCUCUAACUUCAAGGUAGUGGUAAGGUCUGCGUACACAGUAUACUCCCAAGACAGCCAGGCCCCACUGUCUUCCAUCAGCAGCUCAAUUCUUGUUUCUGUCAAGUUGUAUGGUGUGUGUUAAGAGAGCAAAGCAAAGAUACUUUUUGUGACAUUCAAACAAAAUGCAUGUGUUAUUACAAGUGGUGGGACUUUGUGUUUGAAUCUUUCUAUGCUAUCUUAUUUAUCUUCCCUUCCAUCACUCGUAAACAUACAUUUCAAAGGGAUCAAAAUUGAAUCAAAUUAUUCUACAUGCCUAAAUUCCUUUAUUAUUGUGUUAUCAAAUAACUACAUCAACUCUAAAAUACUCAUAUAUAUGAGUAGUAAUUUUCAUUUGAAGAGUACUUUUAUGGAACUAUUUAGUUGUGUAAAUUUUAUUUCAAGAUAAGCAAAAGAAGUCGAUAUGUGAAUUUACUCCGAAAAUUUUAAGAAGUGACCUUCAUUUUAAAUUUUCUUUGGAACGAAAAAAUGGAUGGAUGGACCUAAGAUCGUGCUGAAAGACGGAGUCGAUGGACAACAUGUAAAUAUCAUAACUUUUACUAUUUUAAUUAACAUUUGAAUUGAGCUUGAUUUUCAUUGGAACAAACUCUAAUUCUUUUGAUAAAAAUUAAAUUUGCUAACAAAUACAAUGACGAAUGCUUUAACAUGUGUAUCCUAAGGAGGAGAGAAAGCAAAGUAAAAAAAUUAUUCUUGUUUUUUUGUUUUGUAAUAGAAAGUGAACCAAAACAAAGACCUUUUAUGUGACCUCUUCGUCUAUAAUAAGCACAUGUGAUUGUCAACUUCAAAUUGACAGAAAAUGACUACUUAACCAAUAGAGAUUUUUUUUUGCUUAAUUUGUGCUAUAUAUACGUCAUCAAAAUUGUUGAAUAGACACAAAAGCAAACAUUUCCUGAUUUCUUCACUGCCAACUUAAUUAGUUUUUGACCAUUUUAGUGAAGAAAUGGGUUGUGUAAAAGUUGUGUUUUUUAUGCUAUAUCCCUUUCUCUGUCAACUUGCUUUCUCCUCAUCCUCACCUCAUUUGUGCCCCCGAAGAUCAAGCUCUUGCUCUUCUACAAUUCAAGAACAUGUUUACCGUGAGACCUACUUCUUAUGGUUGUUACGACUAUACAGACCAAAGGAUGAAGUCAUAUCCAAGAACUCUUUUCUGGAACAAGAGCACCGAUUGCUGCUCAUGGGAUGGAGUUCAUUGUGACGAGACAACAUGACAAGUGAUUGAGCUUGAUCUCCGUUGCAGCCAACUUCAAGGCAAGUUUCGUUCCAAUAGUAGCCUCUUUCAACUCUUCAAUCACAAAAGGCUUGAUUUGUCUUAUAACGAUUUCUUUGAAUCGCUCAUUUCACCUAAAUUUGGUGAGUUCUCUAGAUUGACGCAUCUUGAUUUGUCGAGUUCACGUUUUACAGGUCUAAUCCCUUGUGAAAUCUCUCAUCUUUCUAAAUUAUACGUUCUUCGUAUAUGGACUGUAUUUCCAUAUGGCCUUAGACUUGGGCCUCACAAUUUUGAACUACUCCUUAAGAACUUGACUCAAUUAAGAGAUCUCGACCUUUACUCUGUGAACAUCUCUUCCACUAUUCCUCUGAAUUUCUCUUCUUAUUUAACAAAUUUACAGCUUCAACACACACAAUUUCGUGGGGUAUUUCCCGAAAGAGUUUUCCACCUUUCCGAUUUAGAAUUCCUUGAUUUAUCUCACAAUCCCCAGCUCACAGUUAGGUUUCCCACAACCAAAUGGAAUAGCAGUGCAUCACUCAUGUACUUAAAUCUCUAUGAUGUGAAUAUUAAUGGUAGGAUACCUGAAUCAUUUAGCCAUCUAACUUCACUUCAUAUGUUGAACAUGGGUAAUACUAAUCUGUCAGGGCCCCUUCCUAAACCUCUAUGGAAUCUCACCAACAUAGAGAGUUUGUUCCUUGGUAGUAACCAUCUUGAAGGACUAAUUUCCCUGUUAUCGAGAUUUGAAAAGCUCAAGGAAUUAUUACUUGGAAAUAACAAUUUUGAUGGCCGACUUGAGUUCUUAUCCUUUAACAGAAGCUGGAUGCAACUCGAUACCUUAGAUUUUUCGUCCAAUUACCUAACUGGUCCAAUUCCAUCCAACGUAAGUGGACUGCGAAACCUAAAACAGCUCUUCUUGUCAUCAAGCUACUUGAAUGGGACUAUACCUUCCUGGAUAUUCUCCCUUCCUUCACUGAUAGCGUUAGACUUAAGCAAUAACACUUUCAGUGGAACAGUUCAAGUCCAAAACAUUAAAUGUCGUUACUCUAAAUCAAAAUAAGCUGGAAGGUCCUAUUCCAAAGUCACUCCUAAACCAGCAGUUCCUACUAGGUCUUCUCUUUUCACACAAUAACAUCAGUGGACGUAUUGCUUCAGCUAUCUGCAAUCUGAAAACAUUGCAAGUAUUAGAUUUGAGAAGUAAAAUUUUGGAGGGAACAAUCCCACAAUGUUUGGGUGAGAUGAGUGCAGUUGAGAUUUUGGAUUUGAGCAACAAUAGUCUUAGUGGGACAAUUAAUACAACUUUUAGUAUUCGAAACCGACUCAACAUCAUUAAAUUGCAUAGUAAUAAGCUAGAGGGGAAAGUUUCACAAUCUUUGAUCAAUUGUAAAUAUUUAGAACUUCUUGAUUUAGGUAACAAUGAGUUGAAUGACACGUUUCCAAAAUGGUUGGGAGAGCUACCUCAUUUGCAGAUCUUAAAGUUGAGAUCAAAUAAGUUCUAUGGCCCUAUAAGGAUUGACAACUUGUUUGCUCAAAUUCGAGUCAUAGAUCUCUCAUCCAAUGGAUUUAGUGGAGAUUUACCAUUGAGUCUUUUUCAGAAUUUUCAAGCCAUGAAAACAAAUGGUGAGAACAAUGGAACCCGAGAGUAUGUAGCAGAUACAUUUUUUUUUUACUUACACUAAUUCUAUGAUAGUGACAACAAAGGGACUGGAUCAUGAACUUCCUGGAGUUUUGACUACACAAAUAAUUAUCAAUUUCUCAAUGAAUAGAUUUGAAGGUCAUAUUCCAAGCAUUAUUGGAGAUCUCGUUGGACUUCGUACCUUGAACUUAUCUCAUAAUGUCUUGGAAGGUCAUAUACCAGCAUCAUUGCAAAAUUUAACUGUACUCGAAUCGUUGGAUCUCUCAUCUAACAAUAUCAGUGGAGAAAUUCUGCUGCAGCUUGCAUCCCUCACAUUUCUUGCAGUCUUAAAUCUCUCUCACAAUUAUCUUGUUGGAUGCAUCCCCAAAGGAAAACAAUUUGAUACGUUUGAGAACAGUUCAUACCAAGGAAAUGAUGGAUUACGAGGAUUGCCACCCUCAAGAGAUUGUGGUCGUGAUGAUAGGGUACCACAAGAGACAAUUCCAGUUGAGCUAGAUCAAGAAGAAGAAGAAGAAGAUUCACCAAUGAUCAAUUGGCAGGCGGUUCUUAUGGGUUAUGGUUGUGGACUUGUUAUUGGACUGUCUGUAAUAUACGUAAUGUGGUCAACUCAAUAUCCAGCAUGGUUUUCGAGGAUGGAUUUAAAAUUGGAACACAGAAUUACUACGAGAAUGAAAAAGUACAAGAAAAGAUAUUAGUGAGUAGCGACCCCCAGGUAUUCAACUUGAUCUUUAUCUUUCUUAAGAUCAUUUUAUAUGUCAAUGUGUUUUCAACCUCCUUCAUCGUCAGAGCUCUUACCUUAAUUCUUUAUUUUUGAAAAUUGCAGGAUUCAAGUCUACUGAGUUGUGGGGGAUGCAGAUAAAAGUCUUUAUUUUUCAUAGUUUGUGGUGUCUCCAUAAAGUAUUUGUUAUACUAUGAAUAAAGACAUGACUUUUCUUCCUUUGAGACUCAACCAGAUUUUGUUUUCAAAUGUCUAUGGCAUAUAGAAAUAAACGGAAAUCGGACACAAACUUGAAUCUUUAAAUCAUUCAAUCAGAGUAUUUCACUCAACUCUUUCACAUAACACAAAUAUAGAACACUCGAAUUUAAGUUCAGAAACAUAAAAAUCUGUAGUUACAGAUUUCAGAAAUAUUCUUUUACAGACACAUGAUGGUCCUUUAUCAAAAGAUCGAAGGAACAUCAGGAAACCAUGGACCAAAGUUGCAGUCUGCUAUCUUUAACUUUUUUCAUUGAAGCAGUAGCAAUUAACAUAUAAUCUAGAUUCUAUUCAACCUCCUUUAUGAUAUUAGUAAGAUAAAUGAAACAGUGCUAAAUCAAGAAAUGAAGAAAGCUGUAAAGUAUUCCGCUGCUGCUUAUUAGAAUAGGCUCAGACUCUUUUGAGACAUUAGAUGGUGAACUGAUCAAAUGGACGAAAAAGGCCUAUUAUUGUGUUAAAAGGUGUAUUAGAAUAAUCUCAUAUCCAUUGGGAGGACUGUUUUGAGCCAUUAGAACCAGGUAAAAGAAUAAGUUCUGUCACAACAAAUUCUAGGAAAUAGACGCAUUAUUGAGCUUAUGCUCGAAAUCAAUUAAGGGUACGAAAAGUUCUGUCACAACAAAUUCUUAAAAGGGUAUAAUAUGCAUACACUUAUCCUAUCAAAACCUUCUUGCUUUUUUUUUUUUUUUACCUUUAAAGUUAAAGUCUAUACACAAAGUAACACUCUUAUCUUCUUUUUUUCUUAAUGCAAGACUUUGUUCAUACACCCAACCAAUUAUCAAACUACUUGAUUCAGAACAAUACAUGCCAUCCUGGAUAUCCUCCGUUCCAUCACUAAACUUUGAGGACUAUAACAAUGUGUUUCUUCCGUUCUACUCUCCGAGAAGACAAGAACAGCAGUCUCACUCUCACACUCACCUAUAAGUUCCAGGAAGAUACAAAAAAAUGUUUAAUCAGUGGUAUUGAAACUAUGAAGAACAUGCCAUGUAUGGACUUCUGCACUGUCUUCCAUCAGCAGGUCAAUUCUUGUGGAAAAUUGGCUCGAGCUGGUGCACUAUGUAGGCGCUGUAUUCAGAGUAGAUUUCCAGUCUAACCUUAAUGCAUUAGCAAAGUGACACUCCUAUUCUUAAGGUAUAAAGUUGUUAUGUUUCUUUCAAAGUUUACACACUCCUAUCCUAAACAAUUUUGUUGUGUGGUGGUCCUAUUCCUGGAAUCCAAUUAAGUUGGCAAAACAAAGAUAUUUUUUUGUCGAUAAUAACGUUGCACACAAAAUGCAUGUGUAAUGUGUUAUAUACAAGUGGUGGGACUUUGUGAUUUGACUUAAGAAUGUGAACUAUUGAUAGUUUCCGGCAUUCACUUGUGUGACACAUUGAAUGGGCAUAUGUGAUUCACAACUUCAAAUUGACUGAAAAUGACUACGUAACCAAUAGUAAAAUUCUCUUUGCUUAAUUUGUGUUAUAUAUACCUCAUCAAAAUUGUUGAAUAAACACACAAAGCAAAAUAUUUCUUGAUUUCUUCUCUACCAACUUAAUUUAGUUUUGAUCAUUUUUUAGUGCAGAAAUGGAUUGUGUAAAACUUGUAUUGUUUAUGCUAUAUACCUUUCUCGGUCAACUUAUUUUCUCCUUAUCCUUACCUCAUUUGUGCCCCGAAGAUCAAGCUCUUGCUCUUCUACAAUUCAAGAACAUGUUUCCCAUUAAUCCUAAUGCUUCUGAUUAUUGUUUUAAAUUUAAAGAGUUUCAUUCAUAUCCGAAAACUCUUACAUGGAAUAGUAGCACAGAUUGUUGCUCAUGGGAUGGAGUACAUUGUGACAAGAUGACGGGACAGGUGAUUGAGCUCAACCUCACUUGCAGCGGACUUCAAGGCAAGUUUCAUUCCAAAUUGUAGCCUCUUUCAACUUUCCAAUCUCAAAAGGAUUGAUUUGUCUUUUAAUAAUUUCACUGGAUCGCUCAUUUCACCUAAAUUUGGUGACUUCUCCAGUUUAACACAUCUUGAUCUAACAGUUACAAGUUUUUCGGGUCAAAUCCCUUCUGAAAUAUCUCAUCUUUCAAAAUUACACGAUCUUCGUAUCUCUAAUGUUUAUCCAUAUGAGCUUAGAUUCGGACCUCACAAUUUUGAAUUGCUCCUUAAGAACUUGACCCAAUUAAGAGAGCUCCACCUUCACGAUGUGAACAUCUCUUCCACCAUUCCUCUGAAUAUCUCUUCUUAUUUAACAAAUCUACGGCUUCCAUUAACAGAGUUACGUGGGGUAUUUCCCGAAAGAGUUCUCCACCUUUCCGAUUUAGAAUUCCUUGAUUUAUCAGAAAAUCCCCAGCUCACUGUUAGGUUUCCCACAACCAAAUGGAAUAGCAGUGCAUCACUCAUGUACUUAAAUCUCUAUGAUGUGAAUAUUAAUGGUAGGAUACCUGAAUCAUUUAGCCAUCUAACUGCACUUCAUGACUUGAACAUGGGUUAUUCUACUCUGUCAGGGCCUAUUCCUAAACCUCUAUGGAAUCUCACCAACAUAGAGAGUUUGUUCCUUAGUGAUAACUAUCUUGAAGGACCGAUUUCCCAGUUCUCGAGAUUUGGAAAGCUUAGGGUGUUAUACCUUGGAUAUAACAACUUCGAUGGCUGACUUGAGUUCUUAUCCUUUAACAGAAACUGGACGCAACUUGAAGUAUUAGAGUUUUCAUUCAAUAACCUAACUGGUCCAAUUCCAACUAAUGUAAGAGGACUACAAAACCUACAAUGGCUCAAAUUGUCAUCAAACCACUUGAAUGGGACUAUACCUUCCUGGAUAUUCUCCCUUCCUUCACAGACAGUGUUAAACUUGAGAAAUAACCCUUUCAGUGGAAAAAUUCAGGAGUUCAAGUCCAACACAUUGUUGGAAGUUGAUCUAAGACAAAAUCAACUAGAAGGUCCUUUACCAAAUUCACUCCUAAAACAGCCAAACCUAAAAUUUCUUCUCCUUUCACACAAUAAUAUUAGUGGACAGAUUGCUUCAACUAUCUGCAAUCUGAAAACACUAACAGCUUUGGACUUAGGAAGUAACAAUUUGGAGGGAACAAUCCCACAAUGUUUGGUUGAGAUGAAUGAAUACCUUUGGAAUUUGGAUUUGAGCAACAACAGUCUUAGUGGGACUAUCAAUACAAAUUUUAGUGUUGGAAACGAUCUCACGAUCAUUAGCUUGCAUGGGAAUAAGCUAACGGGGAAAGUCCCACGAUCUUUGAUCAAUUGCAAGUACUUGACACUUCUUGAUCUAGGUAACAAUCAGUUGAAUGACACAUUUCCAAACUGGUUGGGACACCUACCUGAUUUGAAGAUUUUAAGCUUGAGAUCAAAUAAGUUUCAUGGUCCCAUUAAAUCUUCAGGGAAUACAAACUUGUUUGCGCGGCUUCAAAUUCUGGAUCUAUCAUCCAAUGGAUUUAGUGGUAAUUUACCAAUAAGUCUUUUUGGGAAUUUGCAAGCCAUGAAGAAAUUGAUGAGCGUACAAGAACCCCAGAGUAUGUUUCUGAUCAAUAUGCUGGUUAUUAUGAUUAUUUGAUGACAAUUACAACAAAGGGGCAAGAGUAUGAUUGUGUUCAAAUUUUGGAUUCUAACAUGAUUAUCGAUCUCUCAAAGAACCGAUUUGAAGGUCAUAUUCCAAGCAUUAUUGGAGAUCUCGUUGAACUUCGUACCUUGAACUUAUCUCAUAAUGUCUUGGAAGGUCAUAUACCAGCAUCAUUGCAAAAUUUAUCUGUACUCGAAUCAUUGGAUCUCUCAUCUAACAAAAUCAGCGGAGGAAUUCCACCACAACUUGCAUCCCUCACGUUUCUUGCAGUCUUAAAUCUCUCUCACAAUCAUCUUGUUGGAUGCAUCCCCAAAGGAAAACAAUUUGAUACGUUUGAGAAUAGCUCAUACCAAGGGAAUGAUGGGUUAUGUGGACUGCCAUUCUCAAAACAUUGUGGUGGUGAUGGUAGGGUACCACAAGCGACAAUUCCAGCUGAGCAAGAUCAAGAAGAAGAAGAAGAUUCACCAAUGAUCAGUUGGCAGGCGGUUCUCAUGGGUUACGGUUGUGGUCUAGUUAUUGGACUGUCUAUAAUAUACAUAAUGUUGUCAACUCAAUAUCCAACAUGGUUUUCGAGGAUGGUAUUGAAAUUGGAACACAGAAUGAUUACGAGAAUGAAAAGGCACAAGAAAAGAUAUUAGUGAGUAGCGACCUCCAGGUAUAUAACUUGAUCUAUUUUAUUUUAUUUCUAUUUUUUUUUACCCUCCGUAGGAGCUCCCACCCCUUUUGCUCCCUUGGUGACUCGAACUCGCAACCUUCGGGUUGGAAGUGAGAGGUGCUUACCAUCCGAGCAACUCCCUCUCGUCAUUCAACUUGAUCAUUAUCCUUCAGAAGAUUAUUUUUUAUAUAUCGAUGUAAUUUCUACCUACUUCAUCCUUUAAGCUCUUAACUUUAAUUCUUCAUUUUUGAAAAUUGCAGGAUUCAAGUCUACUGAAUUGCUGGGAUGCAAUAAGACGAGUUUUUGUUUACCAAUAGUCUGUUAUAUAGUAUGUAGUAAUUUAUUCAGCCUGAUUAUUAGUUAGCUACUUCAUUUCGACUGCAAUGUUCAGUUCAUAAAUUUAUGAAGUUAUCUUAUCUUUUUGUUUUAAUUACAUCAAUAAUUUCAAUAGCAAGCUAAACGUGUACACCUUUUAAGACUCUCCUAAAAAUUGGCUUAAAUAUCCUUAUGGUGUUAAAGAUUGCUCUAAAGUCACCACUCCUUGUUAGUCGAAAAUCACACUUGUCUAAUUUCAAAUGUUUAUAUGUAAAAAGAAUCGAAGAUAUGCCUUUUUUUCUCAACUUUGAUCUGUAGAGGUAUUGAUCUUGUCGCCUCUGCUCUCUGUGCGUUCCUAUUUCUUAAUAAAUCUCUGUGACAUUAGAUACAGGCCUUGUACACCAUACCUUGUAGGAAGACAAUAACGGAUUAGUUCAAGGAGUACUAAAAGUUCUGUUAAAGAAAAUGCUUAAAAACUACAUAUGACAUCUUGUAUUAUAAAGAGAAUGCAAGCUUGAGUCUACUUCAAAUGAUCAUAAUAUAUCGGAUACUCAUUAAAUGAGCAUUCUCAAUAACAGAGCUUGGAUCAAAUCUAUAUUAUGUGCACAGAAUUAUGAAGCAUGAAUACUAGUUCACCUCAACUUUUUCCUUUUCUUUUUGCUAAGAAAAGGCAUUUUGUUGGGUUAUACACAUUUACAAGGGUGAAAAAGAUGCCACAAUUUACACCAUCCUGUAUCAAACAGUCCAGAAUCGAGACGAAGAUAACUAGCUUUAUAAAAAAUUAUUGAUAAAAAUUAUUGAUCUAGGAAAAAGAUGCAUUCUUGAGCUUAUGCUCGAAACUAAUUAAGGGAUAAUUCUCAAAGGAGUACGAAAAGUUCUGUUAUAGGAAGUUUCGUUCAUAACGUUCAAGAAUUUGAAUUACUCUGUGGGAGUAUCAAUUUGGAGGGAACAAUCCCACAAUGCCUGGGUGAGAUGAAUGAAUACCUUUGGAAUUUGGAUUUGAGCAACAACAGUCUUAGUGGGACAAUCAAUAUAAAUUUUAGUAUUGGAAACUCUUUCAGGGUCAUUAGCUUGCACGGGAAUAAGCUAACAGGGAAAGUCCCACCAUCUUUGAUCAAUUGCAAGUAUUUGACACUUCUUGAUCUAGGUAACAAUAAGUUGAAUGACACAUUUCCAAACUGGUUGGGAAACCUACCUGAUUUGCAGAUUUUAAGCUUGAGAUCAAAUAAGUUUCACGGUCCCAUUAAAUCUUCAGGGAAUACAAACUUGUUUGCGCAGCUUCAAAUUCUGGAUCUAUCAUCCAAUGGAUUUAGUGGUAAUUUACCAAUAAGUCUUUCUGGGAAUUUGCAAGCCAUGAAGAAAAUUGACGAGAGUACAAGAACCCCAGAGUAUGUUUCUGAUCAAUUUGCUGGUUAUUAUGAUUAUUUGAUGACAAUUACAACAAAGGGACAAGAUUAUGAUUGUGUUCAAAUUUUGGAUCCUAACAUGAUUAUCGAUCUCUCAAAGAACAGAUUUGAAGGUCUUAUUCCAAGCAUUAUUGGAGAUCUUGUUGGACUUUGUACCUUGAACUUAUCUCAUAAUGUCUUGGAAGGUCAUAUACCAGCUUCAUUGCAAAAUUUAUCAGUACUCGAAUCAUUGGAUCUCUCAUCUAACAAAAUCAGCGGAGAAAUUCCACAACAGCUUGCAUCCCUCACAUUCCUUGCAGUUUUAAAUCUCUCUCACAAUCAUCUUGUUGGAUGCAUCCCCAAAGGAAACCAAUUUGAUACGUUUGAGAACAGUUCGUACCAAGGGAAUGAUGGAUUAU
rnacentral:lncRNA from 1 species